rnacentral:misc_RNA from 1 species
AAGUCGUAACAAGGUUUCCGUAGGUGAACCUGCGGAAGGAUCAUUAACACGUAUCCAACGUUAAACAACCCUGUGAACUUUCAACGCUCUUGUAGCCCCAGAGGAACAGCAAUCCCGGUAAAUCAAUGGCGGAAAAGUUUUGAUUCGGGACCUCUGUCCAAAAGGUAUCAAGUUACAAUCGAGCAGAGCAGUGGCAUGGUUUCCCUAAGCAGUGCAGAAGGAUCCACUGAGUAAGGAUAACGCAUCACGGUUGCCAGAGGUCGAUCACCGGCCGGCAGACAUGUCACAGGGCGCGCGCGCCCGGCAUAAAAACCGAACAACUGUUAACAAUGGAUAUCUUGGUUCUC